rnacentral:rRNA from 1 species
ACGUAGGGUGCGAGCGUUGUCCGGAAUGACUGGGCGUAAAGAGCUCGUAGGUGGUUUGUCGCGUUGGUCGUGAAAUCUCACGGCUUAACUGUGAGCGUGCGGGCGAUACGGGCAGACUAGAGUACUGCAGGGGAGACUGGAAUUCCUGGUGUAGCGGUGGAAUGCGCAGAUAUCAGGAGGAACACCGGUGGCGAAGGCGGGUCUCUGGGCAGUAACUGACGCUGAGGAGCGAAAGCGUGGGGAGCGAACAGG